GUACCUGCUUCUGCAGAACAUAUAAUAAAAUUGGAACGAUACAGAGAAGAUUAGCAUGAUCCCUGCACCAGAAUGACACGCUAAACUUGUAAGCAGUAUAGUGGUUAC